rnacentral:rRNA from 1 species
UAGUCCCAGCCGUAAACGUUGUGCACUUGGUGUGGGAAGGAUUGUCCCUUUCCGCGCCGGAGCUAACGCGUUAAGUGCACCGCCUGGGGAGUACGGCCGCAAGGCUAAAACUCAAAGGAAUUGACGGGGCCCGCACAAGCGGUGGAGCAUGUGGCUUAAUUCGAUGCAACGCGAAGAACCUUACCAGGGCUUGACAUGCAGCUGCACGUCUGCCGAAAGGCGGAAAGCUUUCGAAGGUGCUGCACAGGUGCUGCAUGGCUGUCGUCAGCUCGUGCCGUGAGGUGUUGGGUUAAGUCCCGCAACGAGCGCAACCCUUGUGGUUAGUUGCUACCUCCAAAGAAAUGCGGAGCGCACUCUAACCAGACUGCCUGUGAUAAGCGGGGAGGAAGGUGGGGGAU